AUUCCAGCUCCAAUAGCGUAUAUUAAAGUUGUUGCAGUUAAAAAGCUCGUAGUUGGAUUUGUGGUGACGCUUGAGGUCCAAUUUUGGUACUAUUGAGUGUGACCAUCCUUGGGUGGAAUCUGUGUGGCAUUAAGUUGUCGUGCAGGGGAUGCCCAUCGUUUACUGUGAAAAAAUCAGCGCGUUCAAAGCAGGCUUAUGCCGUUGAAUGUAUUAGCAUGGAAUAAUAAGAUAGGACCUUGGUACUAUUUUGUUGGUUUGCGCACCGAGGUAAUGAUUAAUAGGGACAGUUGGGGGUAUUCGUAUUCCAUUGUCAGAGGUGAAAUUCUUGGAUUUCUGGAAGACGAACUACUGCGAAAGCAUUUACCAAGGAUGUUUUC
rnacentral:rRNA from 1 species